rnacentral:rRNA from 1 species
AUUGAACGCUGGCGGCAUGCCUUACACAUGCAAGUCGAACGGCAGCACGGGAGCAAUCCUGGUGGCGAGUGGCGAACGGGUGAGUAAUAUAUCGGAACGUGCCCAGUCGUGGGGGAUAACGCAGCGAAAGCUGUGCUAAUACCGCAUGAGAUCUAUGGAUGAAAGCGGGGGAUGGCAAGACCUCGCGCGAUUGGAGCGGCCGAUAUCAGAUUAGGUAGUUGGUGGGGUAAAGGCGCACCAAGCCGACGAUCUGUAGCUGGUCUGAGAGGACGACCAGCCACACUGGAACUGAGACACGGUCCAGACUCCUACGGGAGGCAGCAGUGGGGAAUGUUGGACAAUGGGCGCAAGCCUGAUCCAGCAAUGCCGCGUGCAGGAUGAAGGCCUUCGGGUUGUAAACUGCUUUUGUACGGAACGAAAAGGCUCUGGUUAAUACCUGGGGCACAUGACGGUACCGUAAGAAUAAGCACCGGCUAACUACGUGCCAGCCGCCGCUGUAACAC